ensembl:lncRNA
GUGAGUGAAGCAUUUCCCCCUAACAUCUAAUCUAAAUCUCCCCUCUUUUAGUUCAGCGCUCUUCCCCCCCCCCCUUAUCCUAUCACUAUCUACUCAUGUAAACAGUUGUUUUCCCUCCUGUUUAUAAGCUCCCUUUAAGUACUGGAAGGCUGCAAUGAGGUCUCCCUGGAGCCUUCUCUACUCCAGGCUGAACAACCCCAGGUCCCUCAGCCUGUCUUCACAGGAGAGGUGCUCCAGCCCUCCAAUCAUCUUUGUGGCCCUCCACCAGACCUGCUCCAACAGCUCUGCAUCUUCUUACUGAACCAAAUCAUACACCAGUUUAAAUCUAUCAUCAUAAGCCCAGAGAAUAGACUUUUUUGAAUCCCAAAGGACUGAUUUCCAUGGAGAACAGCCAUAGUUUUAUUCAGUCCACAGUUUUCUGUGAAAUUCCCAUUUUGUGUGCCAGAAACCUUCAGUCCUAACCUUAAUGCGUUUAAGAUCUUAAUUUAGGUGAUGAGGCUAAACUGAAAGUACAUUCAAACUGAAAGUACAUUCAAACUUGGAGAGAGAGAGAGAGAGAGAGAGAGAGAGAGAGAGAGAGAGAGAGAGAGAGAUGGAUGGAGAAAAAGAGAUGAAAUCACCAUUAAGCUCUGCUCACGUCUAUUGAGGUCAAGUCCAGGAUUGAGAAGUAAGAGACAAAAAGAAACGUAUAAACAUUUGCUUGCAUCAAAGCUGGAGCACAGCCCAAGCAAUUCAGCAAGUGAGAUCUCAGCUACUUCCACAGCCAAAUGGAGCAAUUUCACUCAAUCUGAAGAGCUCAGUCCUCCCCUACCAAGUGAAAUCCCCUCGAAAAUUCACAAUUGGCUGUUUUUAGUCGGUGUUAAAGCACCUUGCCUUAUAAGAACAACCCAAGUACUAAUCCAUUAAAAGGAGAUUUAUCAAAUCAAGCGGCUCAAUUUACUUUCAAAAACCUAGUUCUCCCUCAGUUUUGGUUUUUUUUUUUUCUUUUGCAUGUGUGUGCAUAAUAACAACUCUCCUCACUAAUAGCUGCUCCGUUGACUCAAUAUUUUGAGCAGCUUAAUUUCAGCCCCAGGAUUUCUGGACCAGAGCCACCAGAUUUUCUAAGUGCUGAGCCUUCAUUGUCUUCCAUUUAUAGACACAAGUACCAUGUAAGACAUUUUCAUCAAUUUUACGUGACUUGUUUUAUUGAAAAGCCUGGAGUCUUCUGACGUGAUUGAUUUCCUGAAUUAUGUGCGUGCUGUAACUAUUUAUUAUUCUUUAAAAAAAUAAAAUUCCUAAGCCUCUUGUGCUCCUCAA